rnacentral:rRNA from 1 species
UUGCACGCUGGCGGCAGGCCUAACACAUGCAAGUCGAGCGGAUGAAGGGAGCUUGCUCCUGGAUUCAGCGGCGGACGGGUGAGUAAUGCCUAGGAAUCUGCCUGGUAGUGGGGGAUAACGUCCGGAAACGGGCGCUAAUACCGCAUACGUCCUGAGGGAGAAAGUGGGGGAUCUUCGGACCUCACGCUAUCAGAUGAGCCUAGGUCGGAUUAGCUAGUUGGUGGGGUAAAGGCCUACCAAGGCGACGAUCCGUAACUGGUCUGAGAGGAUGAUCAGUCACACUGGAACUGAGACACGGUCCAGACUCCUACGGGAGGCAGCAGUGGGGUAUAUUGGACAAUGGGCGAAAGCCUGAUCCAGCCAUGCCGCGUGUGUGAAGAAGGUCUUCGGAUUGUAAAGCACUUUAAGUUGGGAGGAAGGGCAGUAAGUUAAUACCUUGCUGUUUUGACGUUACCAACAGAAUAAGCACCGGCUAACUUCGUG